UGCAAGUCGAGCGAGGCUCUCUCCUUCGGGAGGGAUGUCCUAGCGGCGAACGGGUGAGUAACACGUGGGCAAUCUGCCCCUAGCUCUGGGAUAACCCCGGGAAACCGGGGCUAAUACUGGAUACGACCUCGAAAGGCAUCUGUCGAGGUGGAAAGGGUUUACUGGCUAGGGAUGAGCCCGCGGCCUAUCAGCUUGUUGGUGGGGUAAUGGCCUACCAAGGCGACGACGGGUAGCCGGCCUGAGAGGGCGACCGGCCACACUGGGACUGAGACACGGCCCAGACUCCUACGGGAGGCAGCAGUGGGGAAUAUUGCACAAUGGGCGAAAGCCUGAUGCAGCGACGCCGCGUGAGGGAUGACGGCCUUCGGGUUGUAAACCUCUUUCAGCAGGGACGAAGCGCAAGUGACGGUACCUGCAGAAGAAGCACCGGCCAACUACGUGCCAGCAGCCGCGGUAAUACGUAGGGUGCAAGCGUUGUCCGGAAUUAUUGGGCGUAAAGAGCUCGUAGGCGGCUAGUCGCGUCGGCUGUGAAAACCUGGGGCUCAACCCCGGGCCUGCAGCCGAUACGGGCUAGCUAGAAUUCGGUAGGGGAGACUGGAAUUCCUGGUGUAGCGGUGAAAUGCGCAGAUAUCAGGAGGAACACCGGUGGCGAAGGCGGGUCUCUGGGCCGAUAUUGACGCUGAGGAGCGAAAGCGUGGGGAGCGAACAGGAUUAGAUACCCUGGUAGUCCACGCCGUAACGUUGGGAACUAGUGUGGGCCACAUUCCACGUGGUCUGUGCCGCAGCUAACGCAUU
rnacentral:rRNA from 1 species